CUCGCUCCUCGGCCUUUCGGCUAAGAUCAAGUGUCAUAUCUGUUCUUAUCGGAUAGAGGGCAAUUUUUAGACUAAGUCUCUCUCUCUCCUUUUUGCAUACUGCUGAGUAAAUUUCCAAAGCUGACGGUGGCCCCAACCAAGUCUUGCGUUUUAGUGCAGUAUAAAACUGCAAAUAAUUCUGAUU